rnacentral:misc_RNA from 1 species
UUUCCGUAGGUGAACCUGCGGAAGGAUCAUUAACACGUUUCACAACGUAUAACCCUGUCGAACUGUUUCGUAGUUCCCGCGGCGAGAGGUUGCAAGCCAAGUUUAGGAUGACAGUGUGAGGACGAAAAGAGGGGUUCGCGCCUCUCUUGAGUCUUCCCCUUGCUUGGUGUCUAGGCUUAACGGCUUAGGAUCCUCGAGUCGUGACACUGUCCGGUGACGCCUCUUGUUUCACUUCGGUGGGGCGGGGGGUGGCGCCUGGUUUUCUCAACUUUUAACCCUUUGAACCCUUUGUACUGAAUUAAACCUAUGAAAUCAUAACUAAGAACAACUCUUAGCAACGGAUAUCUAGGCUCUC